UACCGAGAUGGAAGCCGCCGCCAAACUCGGGACGACAGAAGUUUAGCUCGGGAAGGCAACAGUCAACACGUUCUAGAAUCAUUUCAGCUCCGGUUCAGUACACCAGUUGUUCAGCUUGCGACGUCGCCGGAAACAAGUAACGGUUCAUUUCGCCGCCGUUCAAUUUCGGAGUUCAAUUAGAAAUUGAGAUUCACCACCGUCCCCUUUUUUGCACUGUUCUACUACAGAUGACCACGGGUGGUGUUGGUGAUCAACCACCUCAGCGGGUGAAUGAGUACGAGCAACUCUGAGAGAGGCAAUUGCUCUUCCAUACCCGGAGAAUUGCUAGCAAUAGUGGUAUGUCCACCACUGUGCAGUCUAAGUUUGAGCUAUGAAUACAGGAAGCGAAGAAAAAGAAGGUCGAGAUCUCUUUUGCUUCUAUGGGUGGCACGAGCUCGUCACACCCGAGUAAUGCAAAGCUUGCCAAGAAGGUCACUACUAUGACUGAGGAGGUUCAUCAUCUGCAUGAAGUUCAACAGAGAAUUGAGUAGAGUAUAGCACGUAUGACGGAAAUUAUAAAAUAUCAUUGGGACAAGUGAAUGGUGACUCUUGUAAUCGAGGAGGAUGAGGAGGUGGAAGAUGAUGAGUAGAAGGAUUAUAUGUUAUUAUGUAUUUUUAUUUUAUGAAAUGUUUGAACUUAUAUUGACCAAGGUGUAUAUGUAAUUUUUUUAUAUUUAGAUUUGUGAUAGUGUCU